CUGCCUGCCCAGUGACAUUAGUUUAACGGCCGCGGUAUUAUGACCGUGCAAAGGUAGCGUAAUCACUUGUCUUUUAAAUAAAGACCUGUAUGAAUGGCAAAACGAAAGUUCAACUGUCUCCCUAAGUUAAUCAGUGAAAUUGAUUUUUCCGUGCAGAAGCGGAAAUAAAUUUAUAAGACGAGAAGACCCUAUGGAGCUUCAAAUAUAAAUCAAUUGUUUUAAUUAAAAAACCAUAAAUAUAAUAAAACAUAAUGAUUAAAAUUUUAGGUUGGGGCGACCACGGAAAAAAACAAAACUUCCGAGAUGAAAUAUUAUUAAUGAACAACAGUUCUAAAAAAUAAAAUAUUUAACAUAAUUGAUCCAAUAUUUGAUCAACGAACCAAGUUACCCUAGGGAUAACAGCGCAAUCCUUUCUAAGAGUCCUUAUCGACGAAUGGGUUUACGACCUCGAUGUUGGAUCAGGACACCCCAAUGGUGUAGCCGCUAUUAAAGGUUCGUUUGUUCAACGAUUAAA
rnacentral:rRNA from 1 species